rnacentral:rRNA from 1 species
GAUCCUGGCUCAGGAUGAACGCUAGCUACAGGCUUAGCACAUGCAAGUCGAGGGGCAGCAUGACGGAAGCUUGCUUUCGUUGAUGGCGACCGGCGCACGGGUGAGUAACGCGUAUCCAACCUGCCCUUGUCCAUCGGAUAACCCGUCGAAAGGCGGACUAACACGAUAUGCAGUUCUCAGCAGGCAUCUAACGAGAACGAAAUGUGAAGGAGAAGGAUGGGGAGUGCGU